AAUAGAUACCCCGGUAGUCCACGCCGUAAACGAUGAGUGCUAAGUGUUGGAGGGUUUCCGCCUUUCAGUGCUGCAGCUAACGCAUUAAGCACUCCGCCUGGGGAGUACGGUCGCAAGACUGAAACUCAAAGGAAUUGACGGGGGCCCGCACAAGCGGUGGAGCAUGUGGUUUAAUUCGAAGCAACGCGAAGAACCUUACCAGGUCUUGACAUCUCCUGACCGCCCUGGAGACAGGGUCUUCCCUUCGGGGACAGGAUGACAGGUGGUGCAUGGUUGUCGUCAGCUCGUGUCGUGAGAUGUUGGGUUAAGUCCCGCAACGAGCGCAACCCUUGGUUCUAGUUGCCAGCAUUCAGUUGGGCACUCUAGAGCGACUGCCGGCGACAAGUCGGAGGAAGGUGGGGAUGACGUCAAAUCAUCAUGCCCCUUAUGACCUGGGCUACACACGUGCUACAAUGGAUGGUACGAAGGGCAGCGAAGCGGCGACGCAUAAGCGAAUCCCAGAAAACCAUUCUCAGUUCGGAUUGC
rnacentral:rRNA from 1 species